UACGUAGGGCGCAAGCGUUGUCCGGAAUUAUUGGGCGUAAAGAGCUCGUAGGCGGUCUGUCACGUCGGCUGUGAAAACCCAGGGCUCAACCCUGGGCCUGCAGUCGAUACGGGCAGACUAGAGUCCGGCAGGGGAGACUGGAAUUCCUGGUGUAGCGGUGAAAUGCGCAGAUAUCAGGAGGAACACCGGUGGCGAAGGCGGGUCUCUGGGCCGGAACUGACGCUGAGGAGCGAAAGCGUGGGGAGCGAACAGG
rnacentral:rRNA from 1 species